UACGAAGGGGGCUAGCGUUGCUCGGAAUCACUGGGCGUAAAGCGCACGUAGGCGGAUCUUUAAGUCAGGGGUGAAAUCCCAAGGCUCAACCUUGGAACUGCCUUUGAUACUGGGGAUCUCGAGUCCGGAAGAGGUUGGUGGAACUGCGAGUGUAGAGGUGAAAUUCGUAGAUAUUCGCAAGAACACCAGUGGCGAAGGCGGCCAACUGGGCCGGUACUGACGCUGAGGUGCGAAAGCGUGGGGAGCAAACAGG
rnacentral:rRNA from 1 species